UACGUAGGGUGCAAGCGUUGUUCGGAAUUACUGGGCGUAAAGGGCUUGUAGGUGGCCAACUAAGUCAGACGUGAAAUCCCUCAGCUUAACUGGGGAACUGCGUCUGAUACUGGAUGGCUUGAGUUUGGGAGAGGGAUGCGGAAUUCCAGGUGUAGCGGUGAAAUGCGUAGAUAUCUGGAGGAACACCGGUGGCGAAGGCGGCAUCCUGGACCAACACUGACACUGAGGAGCGAAAGCCAGGGGAGCAAACGGG
rnacentral:rRNA from 1 species